CUACGGGCCGCAGCAGUGAGGAAUAUUGCACAAUGGGGGGAACCCUGAUGCAGCAACGCCGCAUGGAGGAUGACGCAUUUCGGUGUGUAAACUCCUUUUAUAUGUCAAGAAAAUGACGGUAGCAUAUGAAUAAGCACCGGCUAACUCCGUGCCAGCAGCCGCGGUAAUACGGAGGGUGCAAGCGUUACUCGGAAUCACUGGGCGUAAAGGACGCGUAGGAGGGUUGGAAAGUCAGGUGUGAAAUCCUACAGCUUAACUGUAGAACUGCACUUGAAACUUCUAAUCUAGAGUAUGGGAGGGGGAGAUGGAAUUAGUGGUGUAGGGGUAAUAUCCGUAGAUAUCACUAGGAAUACCUAAAGCGAAGGCGAUCUCCUGGAACAUUACUGACGCUAAGGCGUGAAAGCGUGGGGAGCAAACAGGAUUAGAUACCCGGGUAGUC
rnacentral:rRNA from 1 species